AUUGAACGCUGGCGGCAUGCUUUACACAUGCAAGUCGAACGGUAACAGGCCGCAAGGUGCUGACGAGUGGCGAACGGGUGAGUAAUGCAUCGGAACGUGCCCAGUCGUGGGGGAUAACUACUCGAAAGAGUAGCUAAUACCGCAUACGAUCUAUGGAUGAAAGCGGGGGACCGUAAGGCCCCGCGCGAUUGGAGCGGCCGAUGUCAGAUUAGGUAGUUGGUGGGGUAAAGGCUCACCAAGCCAACGAUCUGUAGCUGGUCUGAGAGGACAACCAGCCACACUGGGACUGAGACACGGCCCAGACUCCUACGGGAGGCAGCAGUGGGGAAUUUUGGACAAUGGGCGCAAGCCUGAUCCAGCAAUGCCGCGUGCAGGAAGAAGGCCUUCGGGUUGUAAACUGCUUUUGUACGGAACGAAACGGCUCUGGUUAAUACCCGGGGCUAAUGACGGUACCGUAAGAAUAAGCACCGGCUAACUACGUG
rnacentral:rRNA from 1 species